UGUUUGUAGCUUGGUGUAAAAGUUUAAGAAGAUUUGCUUGUCGUACCUUUUGUAUCAGGGGAGUUUAAAAGUGUAAGUAGGCAAUAGUCGAUUAAAGCAGGGCCUUGGGUUGGCAGGUAGUUAAAUUUAUAUGCUAAAGCUAUUAAGAGGUGAAAAAUGUUCGAUGCGCAUGGUAGCUAAAUACUUUUAUGUUUAAGGGAAUAAGCUCUUAGAAAUCUACAAAUUACUAAUAUAAAAGAUACUAGGCUUUAAAUUAGCUAUGUUGGUAAUUUGUUUUAAAAUAACUUUUGGUAUGAGGGGGAAGUAGAAUUUAUAUAGUUAAGCUUAGUAUUAUUAGUGUGGCUAUAAUAAUGGGUUUAUUGAAUAUAGAUUGGGACAUAAAAAGAACUCGCAAAAAACUAGAAUGUUUAGCAAAAACACUUCUAUUUGGGGCGGGAUAAGUAAGACCUGCCCAGUGAUCUUUAAACGGCUGCGGUAUUUUGACUGUGCUAAGGUAGCAUAGUCAUUUGUUGCUUAAUUGGUAACUGGAAUGAAGGGUUAAACUAGUUUUAUUGUGUUUGGUUUGCUAAACAGGAUAUUAAAGUCGAGGUAAGAAUUCUUUGAUUUUCUUGAGGGACGAUAAGACCCUAGAAGCUUGACAAAUAGAAAAUAAUUUUAGUGGUGAGUAGUUUUUUGUUUUGCUGGGGCGGUAUUGUCAGAUAAACUGGCAAUGAGUGUGAAAAGAUCCUUAAAAUAAAGAUAAAUUGGGUAAGUUACUCUAGGGGUAACAGCGCAAUAUUUUUGGAGAGACCUUAUCGAUAAAUAUGCUUGCUACCUCGAUGUUGAAUUAAGAUUUCUACGUGGAGCAGAAAACACAUUAGAGGGUUUGUUCAACCUUUAAAGUCUUACAUGAUUUGAGUUCAAAUCGGUUUAAGCCAGAUUGGAUUUUAUCUUCAAGUAUAAUAUAAACUUUUUUAGUACGAAAGGGACGAUUAGUUUUUGUAGGC
rnacentral:rRNA from 1 species